rnacentral:rRNA from 1 species
UACGUAGGGGGCAAGCGUUGUCCGGAAUCAUUGGGCGUAAAGCGCGUGUAGGCGGCCCUGUAAGUCCGCUGUGAAAGUCGGGGGCUCAACCCUCGAAUGCCGGUGGAUACUGUCGGGCUAGAGUGCGGGAGAGGCGAGUGGAAUUCCUGGUGUAGCGGUGAAAUGCGCAGAUAUCAGGAGGAACACCAAUUGCGAAGGCAGCUCGCUGGACCGUAACUGACGCUGAGACGCGAAAGCGUGGGGAGCAAACAGG